rnacentral:rRNA from 1 species
CGGACGGGUGAGUAAUGUCUGGGAAACUGCCUGAUGGAGGGGGAUAACUACUGGAAACGGUAGCUAAUACCGCAUAACGUCGCAAGACCAAAGAGGGGGACCUUAGGGCCUCUUGCCAUCGGAUGUGCCCAGAUGGGAUUAGCUUGUUGGUGGGGUAACGGCUCACCAAGGCGACGAUCCCCAGCUGGUCUGAGAGGAUGACCAGCCACACUGGAACUGAGACACGGUCCAG